GACGAACGCUGGCGGCGUGCUUAACACAUGCAAGUCGAACGGAAAGGCCCUGCUUUUGUGGGGUGCUCGAGUGGCGAACGGGUGAGUAACACGUGAGUAACCUGCCCUUGACUUUGGGAUAACUUCAGGAAGCUGGGGCUAAUACCGGAUAGGAGCUCCUGCUGCAUGGUGGGGGUUGGAAAGUUUCGGCGGUUGGGGAUGGACUCGCGGCUUAUCAGCUUGUUGGUGGGGUAGUGGCUUACCAAGGCUUUGACGGGUAGCCGGCCUGAGAGGGUGACCGGCCACAUUGGGACUGAGAUACGGCCCAGAAUCCUACGGGAGGCAGCAGUGGGGAAUAUUGCACAAUGGGCGGAAGCCUGAUGCAGCAACGCCGCGUGCGGGAUGACGGCCUUCGGGUUGUAAACCGCUUUCGCCUGUGACGAAGCGUGAGUGACGGUAAUGGGUAAAGAAGCACCGGCUAACUACGUG
rnacentral:rRNA from 1 species